ACGAACGCUGGCGGCGUGCUUAACACAUGCAAGUCGAACGGAAAGGCCCUGCUUUUGUGGGGUGCUCGAGUGGCGAACGGGUGAGUAACACGUGAGUAACCUGCCCUUGACUUUGGGAUAACUUCAGGAAACUGGGGCUAAUACCGGAUAGGAGCUCCUGCUGCAUGGUGGGGGUUGGAAAGUUUCGGCGGUUGGGGAUGGACUCGCGGCUUAUCAGCUUGUUGGUGGGGUAGUGGCUUACCAAGGCGUUGACGGGUAGCCGGCCUGAGAGGGUGACCGGCCACAUUGGGACUGAGAUACGGCCCAGACUCCUACGGGAGGCAGCAGUGGGGAAUAUUGCACAAUGGGCGGAAGCCUGAUGCAGCAACGCCGCGUGCAGGAUGACGGCCUUCGGGUUGUAAACCGCCUUCGCCUGUGACGAAGCGUGAGUGACGGUAAUGGGUAAAGAAGCACCGGCUAACUACGUG
rnacentral:rRNA from 1 species